rnacentral:rRNA from 1 species
AGAGCGAACGCUAGCGGCGGGCCUAACACAUGCAAGUCGAGCGGAGAACUUCGGUUUUUAGCGGCGGACGGGUGAGUAACGCGUAGGUAAUGUGCCUUCUGGUGGGGAACAACCGUGCGAAAGCAUGGCUAAUACCGCAUAUGUCGAGAGAUGAAAGCCUUCGGGCGCCAGUAGAGCAGCCUGCGUCCCAUUAUUUAGUCCUAGUUGGUGAGGUAACGGCUCACCAAGGGUACGAUGGGUAGCUGGUCUGAGAGGAUGAUCAGCCACACUGGAACUGAGACACGGUCCAGACUCCUACGGGAGGCAGCAGUGGGGAAUAUUGCGCAAUGGGCGAAAGCCUGACGCAGCCACGCCGCGUGAGUGAAGAAGGCCUUCGGGUUGUAAAGCUCUUUCAGACGGAAAGAAAUCGCGCGCACGGACAUAGCGCGUGGAUGACGGUACCGUAAGAAGAAGCACUAACGGACUACGUGCCAGCAGCCGCGGUAAUA